rnacentral:rRNA from 1 species
AUGCCACUGGAGUUGCUGCGGGAGAUGGUAGCGGUACACCCAGUGGCAAGGCACCAUAUGACAGACAAUUGUGGUCUGCAUUUUUUUAACCAAAAUACUGAACAUUCAAGCUGCAAUAGUGGAGCUGCAUGUGCUGCUAUAGAUUGGUCCUUGCAGCUUAUGAAGGCAUCAACUAUUGGCGGCACAAAAUUGUGGAGCUUAAGAUUCCCCACCCUUAUUUCUGAAGGAAAGCUAAAGUUCGGGGUGCUAAUCUCCGAGGAUUUUCUCAAUGGUGAACAUUUUUCUUUUGUUUCUCUUGUUCUAAUCUAUACCUCAAGAUGCAAUAGUUCUUAUUGUACUGCUUGGAUUGCUCUCUCAUUGUAA